GGGCAUGGUCUCCUGUCAUUGACUGUGACCACUCAGGAAGGUGCUGGGCUUCGGGGCAUGGUCUCCUGUCAUUGACUGUGACCACUCAGGAAGAGCUCACCUGUGUGUCCCAAAUGCUUCAAGUUCAAAUGUCAUCAUCUGGAAAGGAAGGAAGCAUUACCUCAUGUCUACUCAGCAAGCUCUUUUUAAAGGAAGAUGUAGACUAGUACACAGUGGUGGCUGAUGCAUGGAAUCCCAGCACUCAGGAGACAGAGGCAGGAGAAUCAGCUAAGAUUGAGGCCAGCAUUGACUACAGGGCUGGAGCGUCUAUGAGUUUGAAGACCCAGAGGCCAUACGUUUGGGACCUGGUCAGCUCAGAUUCUGUAUUUAGAAAUAGUCUAUUACAAUGGUAUUUAUUAA